GAAGAAGGAUAAAGAUUAAAAUCUCACAAAGAUUUCUCACAAAAGAGUCUCUACAUACACAAAUAAUCUCUCUCUUUCUUUCUAUACCUAAAGGAGACGCCAAUGGUCCCUUUGAAUAAACAUCAUAUGGAUGGGAGUUGAAUUCCUCUCUGAACUCAAAAAACAAAAUCCAUUAAAACAUAAAUUCUUAAUUAAAUAGGGUAAUGCUAG
rnacentral:lncRNA from 1 species